UACAGAGGUCUCAAGCGUUGUUCGGAUUCAUUGGGCGUAAAGGGCGGGUAGGCGGCCACCGCAAGUCAGUUGUGAAAUCUCUGGGCUUAACCCAGAAAGGUCAACUGAUACUGCAGGGCUAGAGUGCAGAAGGGGCAACUGGAAUUCUCGGUGUAGCGGUGAAAUGCGUAGAUAUCGAGAGGAACACCUGCGGCGAAGGCGGGUUGCUGGGCUGACACUGACGCUGAACUGCGAAAGCUAGGGGAGCGAACGGG
rnacentral:rRNA from 1 species